UCAAAAGUUGCAGGCUUAGCCUGAAAGUAAAUCACUGCAUCCAACACCAAAACUCACAGAGCUAUUGUAAAACAGGAUUUCAGAACGUCACAAUUCAGGCAAGGCAAGACAUAUGUAAAACCCCCAACACUCAGUACGUGUUCAACAACGGCAUCAUAUAUAGAAGAUGAUGGGUCAUAAACAUAUCAUCACACAAAACAUAACUUUCUGUCCUCUUACAUCCUAUUAUUUUGCUAUCAGUGACGGGCUAGCAGUAGGCAGGAGAAAGAAUGUAGAAGCUUUAAAAGAGUGGCAACAGAGCCAGAAUUGGACGUAGUUUACAAAUUCCACCGAUCAAAAGCUGCAUCAGAAUCAAGGAGGGCAGAGACGAUGGAGCAUUGGCUCAAAACAAUCUAACCGAGCAAGGAGAAGGUGCUGGGCACGCGCAAGAAGGUUGACGACGCGAGACUCACAUCACAGAAGCAGCAGCACCAGCUUCUUCACAGCAGCAGCAGCAGCAGCAGCAACCAUGCACUCUGAAGUAGCAGGAGCAAGUCAUGUAGCAACGCUGGCGAUGGGAGCAGUUGUGAUGGAGUUCCCAUGGCUUCUUCAGCAUUACACCCAUACGUCUCCAUCUCGCUCUCACACAUCUUUGGAAGAUCUUGUGCGUGUAUAUAAAUUGCUGCAGAGGGGAUCGGGCUUCUAGUGCAUGGAGAAAGAACCGCAGAUGACGGCAGGACUCCACAUGUGCUGGUUUGGCUAGUUCGACCGAACUGGAGUGAGAACAAUUCAAGGAUCACGAGUAGGGGACAGAGGCAAGAUAUGAUGAGCUGGGAGGGGCCUCAUGGCUGUGAUGUUCCGAUCUUGUAAUAGUGGCAUCUGUGGUU
rnacentral:lncRNA from 1 species